UACGAGUGGCCCCAAGCAUUAUCCGGAUUUAUUGGGUGUAAAGGGUGUGUAGGUGGUUUUGUUAGUCUUUUGUUAAAACCUCGGGCUCAACCCGAGAGAUGCGAAAGAAACGGCAUAACUAGAGGGGGUAAGAGGCUUGUGGAACUCAUGGUGUAGGGGUGAAAUUCGUUGAUAUCAUGGGGAACACCAAAGGCGAAGGCAGCAAGCUGGUACCUACCUGACACUGAAACACGAAAGCGUGGGGAUCGAACGGGAUUAGAUA
rnacentral:rRNA from 1 species